rnacentral:lncRNA from 1 species
UCUCACAAAAACUUAAAUUGGUCAUUGGAAUUCUAAGGUAUAACUUCUUAAUCAAUGAUUAAACCUCAACCCAAGUAAUACUUUUGGUAUUUGAUCAUUUACUUAAAAAAAUUCUUCCAUAAAAAUUGUCACAAUCCAUGAAAAGCAACCAAAUCAUAAAAUAGCAUUAAUACCAUGUCGAAAGAUGGUGUAACAAAUUUUUUCUGCCAUGUCAUGGCACCUCAUAGCAUUUUUG